UACGGAGGGUGCAAGCGUUAUCCGGAUUUACUGGGUUUAAAGGGUGCGCAGGCGGAUAUGUAAGUCAGUGGUGAAAUCUCCGGGCUUAACCCGGAAACUGCCGUUGAUACUAUAUAUCUUGAAUGCUGUGGAGGUAGGCGGAAUUGACGGUGUAGCGGUGAAAUGCAUAGAUAUCGUCAAGAACACCGAUAGCGAAGGCAGCUUACCAAGCUGUAACUGACACUGAGGCACGAAAGCGUGGGGAGCAAACAGG
rnacentral:rRNA from 1 species